GUGGGGAAUAUUGCGCAAUGGGGGAAACCCUGACGCAGCGACGCCGUGUGAGGGAAGAAGGCUUUCGGGUCGUAAACCUCUGUCAGAAAGGAAGAACCUCCCAAGUCCGAAUAGGGCUUGGGACUGACGGUACUUUCAAAGGAAGCACCGGCUAACUCCGUGCCAGCAGCCGCGGUAAUACGGAGGGUGCAAGCGUUAAUCGGAAUCACUGGGCGUAAAGCGCGCGUAGGCCGCUUUGUAAGUCGGACGUGAAAGCCCUCGGCUCAGCCGGGGAACUGCGUUCGAUACUGCGAGGCUUGAGUCCUGGAGAGGGUGGCGGAAUUCCGGGUGUAGGAGUGAAAUCCGUAGAUAUCCGGAGGAACACCGGUGGCGAAGGCGGCCACCUGGACAGGUACUGACGCUGAGGCGCGAAAGCGUGGGGAGCAAACAGGAUUAGAUACCCCUGUAGUCC
rnacentral:rRNA from 1 species